CUCCACACUGCUCCGUGGAGUGUCCGGCUGAGCAUUUUGGGAAGAAAACAUAGAUUUGGGAAGUAUAUAAGCAUUACAGUAGUCUGUACACAUAUCUAAAGUGAAAAUGGGAAUCGCAAGUAAGGCGGGGGACUGGGUGUUCAAGAUCUUCACGGCUGGGCUAGGCGGCGCCACCAUUUUCUUCGCCGCCAAUCUCUCCUUCAACGUCUACCGUGGGAAGAAAUGGAAUACUGCCCAACUGAAGAGUGAAGAAAAGGCAGAAUAAGCUGCGGUGGAUUCCAAGUCCUAUACUGUAUAUGUAACUUGCCAUGUAGAACGUUGGAUGAGAUUGUCCAAUAACUUCCUAGCUACAGCUUCAUUUGAAUAUCAUUAAGCAGUACAAAUGUCUGACUGCAACAAAUGUUACUCGUUUUGUUCAUCUUGUAUUCUAGUACAAAAGUUGGUGUUGCUGACA